CCUACGGGUGGCAGCAGUGGGGAAUAUUGUACAAUGGGGGAAACCCUGAUGCAGCGACGCCGCGUGAGUGAAGAAGUAUCUCGGUACGUAAAGCACUAUCAGCAGGGAAGAAAAUGACGGUACCUGACUAAGAAGCCACGGCUAACUACGUGCCAGCAGCCGCGGUAAUACGUAGGGGGCAAGCGUUAGCCGGAUUUACUGGGUGUACAGGGAGCGUAGACGGCAGCACAAGUCUGGAGUGAAAUCCCGGGGCUUAACCCCGGAACUGCUUUGGAAACUGUGCGGCUGGAGUGCAGGAGGGGUAGGCGGAAGUCCUGGUGUAGCGGUGAAAUGCGUAGAUAUUAGGAGGAACACCGGUGGCGAAGGCGGCUUACUGGACUGUAACUGACGUUGAGGCUCGAAAGCGUGGGGAGCAAACAGGAUUAGAUACCCUUGUAGUC
rnacentral:rRNA from 1 species